rnacentral:rRNA from 1 species
GACGAACGAUGGCGGCGUGCUUAACACAUGCAAGUCGAACGAAGUGGCGAACGGGUGAGUAACGCGUAAUAAACCUGCCCUUCAGAGGGGGACAACAGUUGGAAACGACUGCUAAUAACGCAUACUGAACGAGGGGAUUUCGUCUGAUUAGCUAGUGGGAGGGGUAACGGCCCACCAAGGCGAUGAUCAGUAGCCGGUCAGAGAGGAUGAACGGCCACAUUGGAACUGAGACACGGCCCAGACUCCUACGGGAGGCAGCAGUGGGGAAGCUUCCGCAAUGGACGCAAGUCUGACGGAGCAACGCCGCGUGAGUGAUGACGGCCUUCGGGUUGGAAAGCUCUGUUAAUCGGGACGCGGUACCGGAAUAGAAAGCCACGGCUAACUACGUGCCAGCAGCUGCGGUAAUAC